rnacentral:rRNA from 1 species
CCUACGGGAGGCUGCAGUGAGGAAUAUUGGUCAAUGGGCGGGAGCCUGAACCAGCCAAGUCGCGUGAGGGAAGACGGUCCUAUGGAUUGUAAACCUCUUUAGGCGGGGAGCAAUGCCGGGCACGUGUGCCCGGAGGGAGAGUACCCGCAGAAUAAGCAUCGGCAAACUCCGUACCAGCAGCCGCGGUAAUACGGGGGCUGCGAGCUUUAUCCGGAUUUUUUGGGUUUAAGGGUUGCGUAGUCGGAUUUUUAAGUCAGCGGUAAAAUGUCCGGGCUCAACCCGGGCCGGCCGUUGAAACUGGGGAUCUUGAGUGGGCGAGAAGUAUGCGGAAUGCGUGGUGUAGCGGUGAAAUGCAUAGAUAUCACGCAGAACUCCGAUUGCGAAGGCAGCAUACCGGCGCCCGACUGACGCUGAGGCACGAAAGCGUGGGGAUCGAACAGGAUUAGAUACCCUUGUAGUC